UAGGGCUACAGCUCAGUGGUAGAGCAAAUGUUUUGCAUGCAUUAGGUCCUAGAUGCAAUCCCUAGAAUCUUAA